UACAGAGGGUGCGAGCGUUAAUCGGAAUUACUGGGCGUAAAGCGUGCGUAGACGGCUAUCUAAGUCGGGUGUGAAAGCCCCGGGCUCAACCUGGGAAUUGCAUUCGAGACUGAAUAGCUAGGGUACGGUAGAGGGAAGCGGAAUUUCCGGUGUAGCGGUGAAAUGCGUAGAUAUCGGGAGGAACAUCAGUGGCGAAGGCGGCCAUCUGGGACAACACUGACGCUGAAGCACGAAAGCGUGGGGAGCAAACAGG
rnacentral:rRNA from 1 species